UGGAGAUGCAACAAUCGUGCUACAUCCCAUCUGAGCAAAGACGAAAGGCGCACCCAGAAAAAGAUUGAAGGCAUACAGUGAAAAACGAACUAACCGCUGUGGCAUGUGCAACCAACAAGGUCAUAAUAUUCGGAGCUGUCCAAGUAUUUCAGUAAACAACGUUGACAAACAAGAUGUGAAUAACGACACUGGGCGAUAUUUUCCAUCUGAUAUGACAUGGUCACAAGAAGACUACAACCUGCAUUGAUUGGAAACAAAUUUAUCUUGAAAACUUUGCACAUUCUAGAUGCUUGGAAAGUCACAGACUCUUUUCAACAAAGAUACAAGAUUGGUAUUUGUGAAUGUGGAAGGCAGUGAAACAAGAUUGGUAUUUGUGAAUUAACAGAGCGAAUGGGAAGAUUAAGAGAUAACUGGAGAGAAAAGGCUAAUGAGGUGUCCCUAAGAGAUUUGGAAGGGAGGAUUGUUCUUGAUGUACGAAUUGCUUGUGGAUGAUGCUGUCAGCUAAAGUACUAAGUCGAAUGAUUAUUUCAUCUCCUAUACCUGGACAAUUUCUGGACUCUGCUUUUUGUGUUUGGAAUUAUGCUAGCUAGACUACACUCUCAUGUUAUUCUGUCUUAAACUUUAGUUUUUUUGACAUGUUAUUCUGCUUAUUGGAUUCAUUAUAAUGAAAAGAAAGCAAACAAGCUAUCUCUCUCAUUCUGUUAAACUUAAUAGGGUUCAAAUUUUGGAUUUGUGAUGGAUGAACCGAUGAAUGUAUCAUAUGUCUUAGAAGUGUGU